GAGUAACUAUGACUAAACAAGUGAGGGUCGUCAAAGCGGGGGUCGCAAGCUCCAUCGCUAGUAGGCAGCAGGCGGGAACUGAAGGAUCGAAACAAGACGGGGGGCAUAGGGUAGUGUUCAACAUUACCCCCGACCUCUGGAAAAAUAGGCCCGGAUUUCCCGUUUGCCGUACUGUGCUACAUUACCAAAUUGCUGGGACCUCCUAAAGCCCUUACUACCAAGCACACCCUGGAAACAGGGGGUGUGGCCACGGCUAACGACCCUGGGUACGGUAACAACGUAAGGGAUGCACCAAUGGAUUACCUGCAGCCAAACGCUACCGGAGAAACGGGCUUGUCCCCAGUACUCCCACGCGCGCAGUUCAACGACUAAAUGGUAGUGGGUCAUAGCACUGAUUCCCGCUAGUAGCCACCGGUCUCGGUGUGUGAAAGCAGGGGUUGGUAAAGUGGCUUAAGAUAUAGUCUAGAGGUCCCUCGAAAGGGGGAAACUCAACUCGCUCUUAAGGUAGCCAAAUGCCUCGUCAUCAUACGUAAAAACCAAGCUUAAAACAGCGUUCACAGACACGAGGGUUGAAGCAAGUACCGACCGUCACCCGGCAGGGAGACAACGGGGAAAGUGAACACCUGAGUGACACCGGGCCCGAGGGAUACUAGGGGGGCAAACUCCGACUGUCUCGAAGGCUUGCACCAAAUUGAGCGCGGAGGAUCCCAAGGGGUCCGAUGCACAGCCAAGCCCCGAGCCCCCCCAAAGGGGCAAAGGGAAGGUCUAGAGACUAUACGGUGCUAAGCGGGGUUUUGCCGCCUUGCUGAGGAGAAAUAGUCCAUCGAUAGGUCGUGGAAGAGUUGUGGCGUGUGGCUUGUCGGGCUCUGACCUUCCCCUCGGGGCGGGUGGGAGCAAGGCACUGGUCAGUGGCCCGGAUGCUCGGUACUGACCGCUAUAGAUGUUAAUUUGUGACGCGCAUGAAUGGAUUGACGAUCUUGUUACCCCCUACUAGAAAAGAAACAAUGAGCAAACCAACACAAGACCCAAACGACGGUGCGACUAACCCCGCACUCAACUUUGUGAUACUGGCACUAAAUCUUGGCCUCAUAGAAGAGAUAUACGACGACAGCGACACCUGGUUAAGCGAUUAUGAGAAGAAAUGUAAGCCGGGGAAGGUCCCAUCUCGACCUGCCCGCGACCCGCGCUCCACAAUGUCCUACCUAAGACAACAUUUGUUAGCUCAACUGCAGGCAAUUGUUGAGGACUCGGAGGUAACUCCGACCGGGCCAGAGUCAGCAUGCCUAAUCUACCACGCACGCCAGGUGAGACUGCCAGCACAUAUAGGACGGUGCCUUAAAAUGUACGAAGCCGAGAUUCAAGCUGAAAUUGGGUGUGUCUGGCAUAGCCAGAACAUACAAGUGUCGUGGUUGGUAGCUUACCUCCAUGAUGAGUAUCCCAAUUUCUCUUCAGAAGAUGGGAAGUGGGAAAAGCACACCCUCUCCCAUCUGUGCCUAUCAGCUGGGUUGAAGGACCCUCUUCGCCCAUGUGUAAUAGCUGAGCACCUAAUCUGGGAACCCCACAGCAUCAAUCUCGCCCGAGGCUAUCGUACAUGUCGUAAACUCUGUAACCACUGCGGGGUGGUACUCUGUGAGUGUCAAGAGCUACACACUCCCCCAUGCAUAUAGAGCCCACAGCUCGCGCUUGUUCUUUUCUAGUAGCGUUGGUAAACUUUUUAGUCCAUAAAAGUCAGGGGGGCUAUUCGCACUAGCCACAUCAACCCUAUGGCUAGUCAACUUCCGAUAACAGGGAUGAGUCGGAACGUGGCAAGACAACCUGGUACGAGGGAACCCUCGAGAGCAAUCCUCGAGGCAAUCUCGUGGCGAGCCCCCAGCGAGCAAUUGCUGGAUGGCCGUCGUAACGCGCGGUAAGGUGUCGGGUGCACCCUGACCUAGUCAGGGGUGCCUUAAGGAACGUGCUACUCCCACCCGUGAGGGUGCAGGCCACUGGAACUCUCAUCCAGUAAAGGUGGUCUGGGCUGCAGAUCUUGGUGGGAAAUCACCAAGGGAGGCUGGUAACAAGGUAAUGAGAUUCCCACUGUCCCUACCUACUAUCUAGCGAAACCACAGCCAAGGGAACGGGCUUGGCACAAUUAGCGGGGAAAGAAGACCCUGUUGAGCUUGACUCUAGGCACAGAAGCGAGGUGAUUCUAAAGGUGUAGCAUAGGUGGGAGGACCUGGUCCGCCCUUGAAAUACCACCACUUUCGACAUUGCUUUGCUAAUGCUGUAACGAACGAACGGCCCCCGGGCCGCUUGGGCCGCAAGGUUCAGGUACCCGGUAAGGUCAUAUUCUAGCGCUUUCCUGGCUAUACAAGGUGGCUUGGCUCCUCUGGGUGAGUACUCUGGGACCGCAAACUGGGCUUCCGGGUCUGGUGCGCGCUGCUCUCGGGGGAACCAGAGAUGGUUGGGCUGCCCUCUGGAUAGCAUAAAUAUGGGUACGUAAGCCGUGUAGCAGACCAUCUGUGUUGGGGAGUUUGGCUGGGGCGGAAAACUGCUACACGGCAACGGCAGUCUCCUAAGGUCCGCUCAGAGACGACAGAAACGCCUCGUAGAGCAUAAAGGCAAAAGCGGGCUUAACUUACAUUUUCAGUAGUAAUGUGAAGCAAGAAAUUGAGGCUUAACGAUCCUUAGCGUCGGGUGCCAGCCCACGCUUGAGGUGAGAGAAAAGUUACCACAGGGAUUGAUCAAAGGUAAGGGGGGGUGUUCGAAAGACGGCUUUGGGGAUCGRAGGAACGGGGAACAAGCGGGUAAACCCCGCUAUAGUACCCUGAACGGAGGUUUUCAAGUCGCCGACCAGAGGAAGGGUGUCUCAAAGGGCGAAAGCGGGCAUGUACAGCCCUCAAGUAGCCCCCUCGAGAUACCUGGAGGAUGGUUGGACUUUGCAAGGUGGGGGGAGCCGAAGGCUAGAGGUGGAAGGUCCUGGCGGGGACUGAGUAACCGAAGGCUGGAGUUUCCCGUACCGAGCUGGUCGGCGUUCGGUGCAAAGGCGUUCGUGCGGGGGUCAAAGCGAAAGGCGACAACUUCCCAUUCUCCGACGGRAGAGAGGGAGGGUAAGCCUGUAGUGCCGGCUUCUGCUAGGUCCCGAUAUAAAAGCGAGUCGAACUGGGGAGUAGCGCAGGUUUCCCCGGUAAGGCAACACACCUGGAUGCUGGAAAAGCUCGUAUAAUGGCGGUGGUACCAAAUGUUCUUCGGCGAUACCGAGGCAUGGAGUGGGCUCCAACGUAAGCCUCCCAACCCCUCUCGAGGGUACGGAGCUUUGGAAGUUCACGGGUAAUAAUCCACCGACCAGAGCCUAUCAGCAGGCAACAAGGUCACUCAAAGGGCUGGGGAUACCGAGUUCAUGCCGUCAAGGCAAGAGCCGGCCCACUGGCUAUCAUGGCAACAGUGACUGCGUGCUUCAACGACUGGGAAGGUGUGGGUGCGGGUCGGCUGCCCUUGUUUGGGACCCCCUAUCUGACCGACGGGUUGGGUUGGGGGGACCGGUAUAACAGGAGGUGGUCAGCACGUGCUAAAGGAACAGUCUGCCCCCACACACUGGGUACGGCCGCCUUGGCGGAUACGGCUUGGUGAUGUGCAUUCAAUCACAGGAGGCACCCGGCGGGAGUUCAUGGAACCAAGGCUGCGACCCCGACGGGGGGAGCGGAGUUGGGAAAGUGAACUCGGAGGUGUCUCCGCAACCCACUACUGCAGGGUUAGGUUGAAUGGGAGAAGAUGGCUUCUGCCUGAGUAGGGUCUGCACCGAGGUCUUUUUUCACCCGUGCACCAAGAUCUGAAAGGAAGCCAUCGGCUUUGGGCCUGGGAACUGGCUUGUGGCCGCCAAGCGUUCAUAGCGACGUGGC
rnacentral:rRNA from 1 species